GAUGACGAUGAAGAGGAGUAGAAGGAGAGGAGGAAGAUGAGGUCAGCGCCACCGAUGAGGAGGAGGAAGACCUUGGCAUUGAUGGUGAAGUUGAAGAUGAGGAGGAUGAGGAGAGGAUGAAGAGGAAGUUGAGGCUGUCAAAGGCGAGAAGAGAAAGC